UACGGGGGGAGCAAGCGUUGUUCGGAUUUACUGGGCGUAAAGGGCGCGUAGGCGGUCAGCACAAGUCAGUUGUGAAAUCUCCGGGCUUAACUCGGAAAGGUCAACUGAUACUGUGCGACUAGAGUGCGGAAGGGGCAACUGGAAUUCUCGGUGUAGCGGUGAAAUGCGUAGAUAUCUGGAGGAACACCGGUGGCGAAGGCGGCAUCCUGGACCAUUACUGACACUGAAAAGCGAAAGCCAGGGGAGCAAACGGG
rnacentral:rRNA from 1 species